rnacentral:rRNA from 1 species
GCCAUCGGGUAAUGCCGGGCACUCUGGAAGGACUGCCAUCGACAAGAUGGAGGAAGGUGGGGAUGACGUCAAGUCAUCAUGGCCCUUAUGUCCAGGGCGACACACGUGCUACAAUGGCCGGCACAACGGGAAGCGAGUUCGCGAGGACGAGCGGAUCCCUCAAAGCCGGUCGCAGUUCGGAUUGAAGUCUGCAACUCGACUUCAUGAAGCUGGAAUCGCUAGUAAUCGUGGAUCAGCCAAGCCGCGGUGAAUACGUUCCCGGGCCUU